rnacentral:rRNA from 1 species
CCAGCUCCAAUAGCGUAUAUUAAAGUUGUUGCAGUUAAAAAGCUCGUAGUUGGAUUUCUGGCUUUGGGCUGUGGUCCCGGACCUUCGGGUCUGUGUUGGCUGCACGCCCUUGCCAUCUUUUCGGAAUAUCUAGUGUGCUCUUUACUGCGUGCACUAGCGAUUUCGAUCUUUUACUUUGAAAAAAUUAGAGUGUUCAAAGCAGGCUUAUUGCUGUGAAUACAUUAGCAUGGAAUAAUAAUAUAGGACUUCUGUCUUAUUUUGUUGGUUUCUAGGAUGGAAGUAAUGAUUGAUAGGGAUAGUUGGGGGUGCUCGUAUUCAGCGGCCAGAGGUGAAAUUCUAUGAUUCGCUGAAGACGAACUUAUGCGAAAGCAUUCACCAAGGAUGUCUUCU